UAGGGAAUCUUCCACAAUGGGCGAAAGCCUGAUGGAGCAACGCCGCGUGAGUGAAGAAGGAUUUCGGUUCGUAAAACUCUGUUGUAAGGGAAGAACAAGUACAGUAGUAACUGGCUGUACCUUGACGGUACCUUAUUAGAAAGCCACGGCUAACUACGUGCCAGCAGCCGCGGUAAUACGUGGGUGGCAAGCGUUGUCCGGAAUUAUUGGGCGUAAAGGGCUCGCAGGCGGUUUCUUAAGUCUGAUGUG
rnacentral:rRNA from 1 species